CCCCUCCCAAAACAAAUCUGGGGUUUAGAGAGAGAUCGCAGAAUUGUGUCACUGUAUACUGGUAAAAAUGGCGAAUCCCCAACAAGCUUCGAGUCGGGCAUGGAUUCUUGAAUUCAUACCUCUAAUGGUAGUCAUUCUCAUUGGCGCCCACGUCUUCGCUCUGGUUUACUGGAUUUACAGACUAGCAACUGAGAAACAGUCAAAGAACGAAAAAGCACUAGACUAGAAAAGAACAGUUAUACUCAAUCCGAUUUGAUGUGGCUGAAGAAGGAAUGUCUUUUGAUGAUUAAUUCAUUUUAUAGAGAGAAAAGCCAUCUGAAAGAGGUCACAGGUUCUACCUCAUUAACUCAUACAUUUCUUGGGUUUUUCGUGCCUUGCAUCUGAGCUUUCAUCCGAUGAGUGGGAUUAUGUAGUAUCAGUUGAUAAAUGUCAGCCAAAUAGAUUUUCUUUUCCAGAAAUAGGGCUGUGAAUGUCAAUUCCGGGCAUGUAAUUCAACUUAAAACCAUUCUUCCAGAAUUGAUGUUGGCAUGUUGAGUUUCUAUUUGUAAUAUGUGGAGUACUCCAAAAUUCUACUUGGUCUCUUUAAUGCAUGUCCAAGUGUUCUAUAACGUAUUCCAUCAUCCAAACUCGAAUGGAAAAUAAGACCUUUGGCACUGUUUGAUUCAUGGGACUAGAUUCGGGAGGAGGCUGAA